GAUGAAGAACGUAGCGAAAUGCGAUAAGUAGUGUGAAUUGCAGAAUUCAGUGAAUCAUCGAAUCUUUGAACGCACAUUGCGCCCCUUGGUAUUCCAUGGGGCAUGCCUGUUCGAGCGUCAUUUGUACCUUCAAGCUUUGCUUGGUGUUGGGUGUUUGUCUCGCCUUUGCGUGUAGACUCGCCUUAAAAUAAUUGGCAGCCGGCGUAUUGAUUUCGGAGCGCAGUACAUCUCGCGCUUUGCACUCAUAACGACAGCGUCCAAAAGUACAUUUUACACUCUUGACCUCGGAUCAGGUAGGGAUACCCGCUGAACUUAAGCAUAUCAAUAGCGGAGCA
rnacentral:misc_RNA from 1 species